UACGUAGGUGGCAAGCGUUGUCCGGAGUUACUGGGUGUAAAGCGCGUGUAGGUGGAAGAGGAAGUCUGCUGUGAAAGCGCCUGGCUUAACCGGGCGAGGUCGGUGGAAACUCCUCAUCUAGAGGUCGGUAGAGGGGGGUGGAAUUCCGGGUGUAGUGGUGAAAUGCGUAGAGAUCCGGAGGAACACCUGUGGCGAAGGCGGCUCACUGGAUCAAUACUGACGCUGAGGUGCGAAAGCGUGGGUAGCGAACAGG
rnacentral:rRNA from 1 species